rnacentral:rRNA from 1 species
CACAUCCUGGGGCUGAAGUAGGUCCCAAGGGUAUGGCUGUUCGCCAUUUAAAGUGGUACGCGAGCUGGGUUUAGAACGUCGUGAGACAGUUCGGUCCCUAUCUGCCGUGGGCGCUGGAGAACUGAGGGGGGCUGCUCCUAGUACGAGAGGACCGGAGUGGACGCAUCACUGGUGUUCGGGUUGUCAUGCCAAUGGCACUGCCCGGUAGCUAAAUGCGGAAGAGAUAAGUGCUGAAAGCAUCUAAGCACGAAACUUGCCCCGAGAUGAGUUCUCCCUGAGACUUAAAGUCUCCUGAAGGAACGUUGAAGACGACGACGUUGAUAGGCCGGGUGUGUAAGCGCAGCGAUGCGUUGAGCUAACCGGUACUAAUGAACCGUGAGGCUUAACCUUACAACGCCGAAG